GCCUGGGUGGCUCAGUUGGUUAAGCAUCCGACUUCAGCUCAGGUCAUGAUCUCAUGGUUUGUGGGUUCGAGUCCUGUGUCAGGCU
rnacentral:tRNA from 1 species